rnacentral:rRNA from 1 species
CAGGCCUAACACAUGCAAGUCGAGCGGACUUAUCCUUCGGGAUAGGUUAGCGGCGGACGGGUGAGUAACACGUAGGCAACCUGCCUGUAAGAUCGGGAUAACUACCGGAAACGGUAGCUAAGACCGGAUAGCUGGUUUCUCCGCAUGGGGGAAUCAUGAAACACGGGGCAACCUGUGGCUUACGGAUGGGCCUGCGGCGCAUUAGCUAGUUGGUGGGGUAACGGCCCACCAAGGCGACGAUGCGUAGCCGACCUGAGAGGGUGAUCGGCCACACUGGGACUGAGACACGGCCCAGACUCCUACGGGAGGCAGCAGUAGGGAAUCUUCCGCAAUGGGCGCAAGCCUGACGGAGCAACGCCGCGUGAGUGAUGAAGGUUUUCGGAUCGUAAAGCUCUGUCGCCAAGGAAGAACGCCUCGGAGAGUAACUGCUCUGAGGGUGACGGUACUUGAGAAGAAAGCCCCGGCUAACUACGUGCCAGCAGCCGCGGUAAUACGUAGGGGGCAAGCGUUGUCCGGAAUUAUUGGGCGUAAAGCGCGCGCAGGCGGUCUUUUAAGUUUGGUGUUUAAGCCCGGGGCUCAACCCCGGUUCGCACUGAAAACUGGGAGACUUGAGUGCAGGAGAGGAAAGCGGAAUUCCACGUGUAGCGGUGAAAUGCGUAGAGAUGUGGAGGAACACCAGUGGCGAAGGCGGCUUUCUGGACUGUAACUGACGCUGAGGCGCGAAAGCGUGGGGAGCAAACAGGAUUAGAU